rnacentral:rRNA from 1 species
AGAAUCAACGCUGGCGGCGUGCCUAACACAUGCAAGUCGAACGAGAAGGUGGAGCAAUCCAUGAGUAAAGUGGCGACCGGGUGAGUAACACGUGACUAACCUACCUUCGAGUGGGGGAUAACCUCGGGAAACCGAGGCUAAUACCGCAUAACAUCGCAAGAUCAAAGCAGCAAUGCGCUGGAAGAGGGGGUCGCGGCUGAUUAGCUAGUUGGCGGGGUAACGGCCCACCAAGGCGAAGAUCGGUAGCCGGCCUGAGAGGGCGCACGGCCACACUGGAACUGAAACACGGUCCAGACUCCUACGGGAGGCAGCAGUGGGAAUUUGCGCAAUGGGUGAAACCCUGACGCAGCAACGCCGCGUGGAGGAUGAAGCCCCUUGGGGCGUAAACUCCUUUCGACCAAGACGAUAAUGACGGUACUGGUGGAAGAAGCACCGGCUAACUCUGCGCCAGCAGCCGC